UACGUAGGGUGCGAGCGUUAAUCGGAAUUACUGGGCGUAAAGGGUGCGCAGGCGGUCUCGUAAGCUGGGUGUGAAAGCCCCGGGCUUAACCUGGGAAUGGCAUUCAGGACUGCGAGGCUUUGAGUGCGGCAGAGGGAGGUGGAAUUCCACGUGUAGCAGUGAAAUGCGUAGAGAUGUGGAGGAACACCGAUGGCGAAGGCAGCCUCGUGGGCCAGCACUGACGCUCAUGUGCGAAAGCGUGGGGAGCAAACAGG
rnacentral:rRNA from 1 species